rnacentral:tRNA from 1 species
AAAGAGAUUCAAACCAAGAAAGCUUCUAACUUUCCUCCUUAGCGGUCAAAUUCCGUUAGUUUCUU